GGUAUGUAAAGCUCUAUCAGCAGGGAAGAUAAUGACGGUACCUGACUAAGAAGCACCGGCUAAAUACGUGCCAGCAGCCGCGGUAAUACGUAUGGUGCAAGCGUUAUCCGGAUUUACUGGGUGUAAAGGGAGCGCAGGCGGUGCGGUAAGUCUGAUGUGAAAGCCCGGNGCUCAACCCCGGUACUGCAUUGGAAACUGUCGUACUAGAGUGUCGGAGGGGUAAGCGGAAUUCCUAGUGUAGCGGUGAAAUGCGUAGAUAUUAGGAGGAACACCAGUGGCGAAGGCGGCUUACUGGACGAUAACUGACGCUGAGGCUCGAAAGCGUGGGGAGCAAACAGGAUUAGAUACCCUGGUAGUCCACGCCGUAAA
rnacentral:rRNA from 1 species